rnacentral:rRNA from 1 species
UACGAAGGGGGCUAGCGUUGUUCGGAAUUACUGGGCGUAAAGCGUGCGCAGGCGGCUUCUCAAGUCAGGGGUGAAAGCCCAGAGCUCAACUCUGGAAUUGCCUUUGAGACUGAGUGGCUUGAGUACGAGAGAGGUGAGUGGAAUUCCCAGUGUAGAGGUGCAAUUCGUAGAUAUUGGGAAGAACACCAGUGGCGAAGGCGGCUCACUGGCUCAUAACUGACGCUCAUGCACGAAAGCGUGGGGAUCAAACAGG